GACAGAGGGUGCAAACGUUGUUCGGAAUUACUGGGCGUAAAGCGCGUGUAGGCUGCUCUGCAAGUCGGGUGUGAAAGCCCUGGGCUCAACCUAGGAAGUGCACUCGAAACUGCAGAGCUGGAGUCCUGGAGAGGAAGGCGGAAUUCUCGGUGUAGAGGUGAAAUUCGUAGAUAUCGAGAGGAACACCGGUGGCGAAGGCGGCCUUCUGGACCGAUACUGACGCUGAGGAGCGAAAGCGUGGGGAGCGAACAGG
rnacentral:rRNA from 1 species